GGAUGGAUGUCCGAGCGGUUUAAGGAACCGGUCUUGAAAACCGGCGUGCGGGUGACCGUACCGUGGGUUCGAAUCCCACUCCAUCCG
rnacentral:tRNA from 1 species